GAAAUAGCAUCUCACAAGGGCAGCUUGGUUCUCCUCCUCCUAUCCCCAAAAUCACUGGGAUAAUCAUGGCAAAAUCAUUGUGCUCCUUUUAUAUACACAAACGAGUGGUAAACCUGCCAGUUCCUCUGGUUCCCUAUCAAUGAGGUACAGAACUUCAAAGAAGUUCCUGAUGUUCUCCUUGAAAAUGGCCAGAUAUGCCGACUGUGUUUUCCUCCUUACCUUUUCCAACUUUGGCAUUCCAGUCUCCAGCCACCAACAUCACAACUUGUUUGCAUGUUCUGUCAAUUUCAGACUGAACUUGAGCAUAAACCUCAUCAGCUU